rnacentral:tRNA from 1 species
CGCGGGGUGGAGAAGUAGUUAUCUCGCAAGGCCCAUAACCUUGAGAUCGCAGGUGCGAUUCCUGCCCCCGCAA